GGAGACGGCCGGUGAUCGCCGGGCAGUAUUUUUUGCCCGGAGGAAAGUCCGGGCUCCACAGGGCAGGGUGGUCCGUAACGCGGACCGGGGGCGACCCCAGGGAAAGUGCCACAGAAAAUAUACCGCCGGGCCUCUGCCCGGUAAGGGUGAAAAGGUGAGGUAAGAGCUCACCAGCUGCACGGUGACGUUGCAGGCUUGGUAAACCCCACCAGGAGCAAGACCAAAUAGAGGAGCGCCUGAGAGUGGCCCGCUCGAAGCUCCCGGGUAGGUUGCGUGAGGUGUCGAGCAAUCGACAUCCCAGAUGAAUGAUCACCACCCUGUACGCACAGGGGAACAGAACCCGGCUUAUGACGGUCUCCUCCG
rnacentral:RNase_P_RNA from 1 species